ensembl:snRNA U6 U6 spliceosomal RNA
GUGCUUCAGCAGCACAUACAGCAAGACUGAAACAAUACAGAGAAGAUUAGCAUAGCCCCUGCACAAAGAUAACAUGCAAAUUUGUGAAAUGGUCUAUAUUGUU